AGUCAUGCAUUAGAUUUGGAAAGUCAAGCCUAAAAGGGUCGGGUGCAGAGGGAGUUCUUGUGAAGGUCCAUUCCCUGCUUUGUUUUUAAUCGUGCCUUUUGAAAGACCUAAGAGAACUGAGAGGAUCAGCUGUAUCGAAUUUGGGACUCAACUUUCUCCAGGCCUACCUCUCGUUCUGGCUUUCCACAGCCAGGUGUUGGGCAGGAAGUACUCACAGGACAGGCAGGAGGAAGGGGAGCGGGAGGAGAAGGAGAAAUGGGAGAAGAAGGAGGAGGAUUUUCCAGCUGGGAAAGUCAUUCCCUUCAAAGAGGUCUUAGCAUCUCCAUCUUCCAGAAGCGAUAGAGACCCUCAACUCUGUCCCACCUCCCUUUUCACCUCAUCAAACUUCAGGGGAGGGGAUCCGGUGGUCAAAGCAGCAUAAGAAAUUCGUUGUUUAGUUUCGUUCCCACACCCACUCUAGUGAAAGGAACUGAGCUCCCUCUCAGGUGGAAACUCUGUGGGAUUCUGGAGCCGUGGCUCCCAUGUGUUGAUAAUUAUAGAAUUCUGACACAGGAAGAGCUUUCAAGAAGUUAACUCGUCCAAGCCUCCGCCUCCCACCCCCUGGUUGUCUAAACUGUCCAUUUUGAAUGGAAAUCUCCAUGGAUGGUUGUUUCUUCUUCUCCCAUGGGUUUCCAGCAUCUCUUCCUUCCAUGGAAUCCCAUCUAGAAGUCAUUUCUGGUGCUUGCAUCCUCUGAGCUGUUCUGAGCCAAUCGCCAGCCCAAAGGAGACGGAGAGGCGUGAUACCGCAGGAUGUCUCCGUUGGACCCGGCUCCCCGGUGCGCUAAUUCUGAAGAUGACAAACAGGAACCAAAUAAAAAUGUUGAAAAAUGGGCACUUUGAAGCCACCCUGUGCAGAGUAGCUAUUGCGGGGUUUGGAAAUAACAAGGGAGCCAGGAAAAGGGAAAGGAGGUGUUUUCUCACUGAGAAGUGGUGCCCAGAAAAGGCCACUACUGUAGGAAUGGGGGAGAAAGAAGAGGAGAGACAGAGGAUGGUCGGGGGGAAGAGCACAGAAAAAGAGAUGGAGGAAGGAGGAAGAUGAAGAGCGAAGGUACCAAGAGGAAAAAGAUGGAGCUAAAGGUCGGAGGGCGAAAGAAAGGAGGAAACGAAGGUCACAGGGAGGCUGUGGAGAGUGACGGGAAGACAAGAGGACGUUGUCAAAGCCGACAAAAAAAGGCCAAUUUGGUGUGUCAGCGUGGGGAGCGGGGAACGGACUGAGCUGAGCUCUCGCUCGCAGAGCUCCAUGCCCCCUCCCCGCCCGUCCGAGCCCCCCCUUCCAUCUUCCCAACCCCCCCCACCCAAAAGAGAACGAAGGAAAACAAAAUAUCUACAGUUGUCGAGACAAGGGGAGAAAAAUAGAGGCAAACAUCCGUAAUUUUCUCUGUGGGGCUUUGCGGUAAUUGAGCCAUUUGGAUAAAAAUAAAGGCAGCGGGCCCCUUAGGUAAGAGGAGCUUUUGCAAUCUAAGAAGCUUGAAUUAUGCGUCUUGUGUCACUUUAAAUCCCCCAUUCUCCCCCUUCCCCAUGCUAUGCCAAACCACUUUCCCUUUUCUUAUUAUUUUUUUUAAGUACCCUGUCAAAUGUCGUCCGCAGAGCAGAGAAUUUCAGCUGUCACAACUAAUUUCAAUUUUUUCCAUGGGUUUUUUUUUCCCCCCGUUGGUGUAAGGGGUGGGGGUGGAGGGGGCAGAGAGG
rnacentral:lncRNA from 1 species